GUUCGGUCGACGUACGUCACGGUGGGUCGACGACGACGCCGCGGGUAAAUACCCGGCGGCUCGAGUGGUGGCCACUUUAUUGGGCUUAAAGCGUUCGUAGCUGGGUUAUUAAGUCCCUUGGGAAAUCCGACAGCUUAACUGUCGGGCGUCUAAGAGAUACUGGUAAUCUUGGAACCGGGAGAGGUGAGGGGUACUUCGGGGGUAGGAGUGAAAUCCUGUAAUCCUCGAGGGACCACCUGUGGCGAAGGCGCCUCACCAGAACGGCUUCGACAGUGAGGGACGAAAGCUGGGGGAGCAAACCGGAUUAGAUACCCGGGUAGUCCCAGCCGUAAACGAUGUGCGUUAGGUGUAUCGGUGACCACGAGUCACCGAGGUGCCGAAGGGAAACCGUGAAACGUACCGCCUGGGAAGUACGGUCGCAAGGCUGAAACUUAAAGGAAUUGGCGGGGGAGCACCACAACAGGUGGAGCCUGCGGUUUUAAAUUGGACUCAACGCCGGAAAUCUCACCGGAUAAGACAGCAGAAUGAUUGCCGGGCUGAAGACUCUGCAUGACUAGCUGAGGAGUGGUGCAUGG
rnacentral:rRNA from 1 species